AAAUCUUGUUCUCAUUCACAACAUUCUCAUCGCAUCAAAAAAAAAAAAAUCAUCAGAUAAAGAGUAGAACAAAAAAUUCGAAAUCAUGAAUAAAAGCUUUUUGAAAGUCUUGUUUGCAGCUCUUAUGUUGGUUUUGGUUAUGAUGUCCGCUGCACCGCAUGCUGUUAAUGCCGGUGAGCCAAGUUGGACUAGCGUCCCUGAGGAUGCCGACAGUCAAUGGGACGAAAAUGAAGGGUGAAACUAGUCACCGAAAACACUAGUAUGGCAAAAGCGUUUCAAGUUUUUACAUAAAUAAAUGAUUUGCACAUAUUUACAAGUGUAAAAGGAGGUGAACUCUGCAGAUGUUGUUGUUGUGGUCUUAUAGACGACCUUGGGCUCAUUCGUCUGCUUGAGUCACAGUAAAUUAAUAUAGUCUAAGUGUUGCUUCUGUGUGAAUGAUUCUUGCCGA